UGCGAGCGUUAAUCGGAAUGACUGGGCGUAAAGGGCAUGUAGGCGGAUAAUUAAGUUAGGUGUGAAAGCCCUGGGCUCAACCUAGGAAUUGCACUUAAAACUGGUUAACUAGAGUAUUGUAGAGGAAGGUAGAAUUCCACGUGUAGCGGUGAAAUGCGUAGAGAUGUGGAGGAAUACCGGUGGCGAAGGCGGCCUUCUGGACAGAUACUGACGCUGAGAUGCGAAAGCGUGGGGAGCAAACAGGAUUAGAUACCCUGGUAGUCCACGCUGUAAACGAUGUCGAUUUGGAGUUUGUUGCCUAGAGUGAUGGGCUCCGAAGCUAACGCGAUAAAUCGACCGCCUGGGGAGUACGGCCGCAAGGUUAAAACUCAAAUGAAUUGACGGGGGCCCGCACAAGCGGUGGAGCAUGUGGUUUAAUUCGAUGCAACGCGAAGAACCUUACCUGGUCUUGACAUCCACAGAAUCUUGCAGAGAUGUGAGAGUGCCUUCGGGAACUGUGAGACAGGUGCUGCAUGGCUGUCGUCAGCUCGUGUUGUGAAAUGUUGGGUUAAGUCCCGCAACGAGCGCAACCCUUAUCCUUUGUUGCCAUCGGUUCGGCCGGGAACUCAAAGGAGACUGCCGUUGAUAAAGCGGAGGAAGGUGGGGACGACGUCAAGUCAUCAUGGCCCUUACGACCAGGGCUACACACGUGCUACAAUGGCGUAUACAAAGGGAGGCGACCUCGCGAGAGCAAGCGGACCUCAUAAAGUACGUCUAAGUCCGGAUUGGAGUCUGCAACUCGACUCCAUGAAGUCGGAAUCGCUAGUAAUCGUGAAUCAGAAUGUCACGGUGAAUACGUUCCCGGGCCUUGUACACACCGCCCGUCACACCAUGGGAGUGGGUUGCACCAGAAGUAGAUAGCUUAACCGCGAGGGGGGCGUUUACCACGGUGUGGUCCAUGACUGGGGUGAAGUCGUAACA
rnacentral:rRNA from 1 species